rnacentral:antisense_RNA from 1 species
AUGCAAGUGUUUAACAGAUGCUUCACUAUUAAAAUAUUUUCCCCCCAAGUCUCAAAUAUUGAAGAAUCUCUAACCAGGGACACCAGUCCCAACGAAGACCUUGGGCGAUUUCAAAGUGCGGGCACCUCGAUUCCCCGAAUCUGUAGUGUGGCUGGUAUCGGUGUUUCCCUGGUUUAACUAGCCUGCUUGAAGGCGCAGAUCAUUCAUGGGGAAGUAAAACCGAAACCAGUCCUCUCCACCCCCUGCGGGUCUUCACUUUCCCAGUCUACAUCUGCCUGUGACUCCAGAAAGACAAACUGCAGAUUGGCCAAGAUGGGGAAAUUGAGGCACAGAAGCCAAGACAUGCGCUAAAGGUCAUGCGGGCUAUGAAUGGAGCUGGAAUGUGAAUGCAGGCCAUGUGACUCCAGAGCCCAUGUUCUUGAACCCUUAGAAAGACAGCAGCAACACACCUGGUGCAGCAGCUGCUUAGUUGGAGUGGCUGACAAGGAGAGAAUGAUUUCCAGGAAGAGCGGGACACAUAUGGAAGGCCUUAGCUUAUCUUUAGCGCCUCAUACACCCGUUCUGGACUUCAGAAAGGCCAGUGAGUGGGAUUAGGCCUCAGAGAUAGGAUGUCAGUCCCAGUGAGGGAUGGCCUAGAGCAUUCUUUAAUUCUUUCCUUUGGGUCGCACAUAAGAAACAAUUUUCCAGCACUGAUGAGUGUUAUUAACAAUGAGAUGGGAUACAAUUUUGUUUUCCCUAUGGCUGUGCUUCAAAAAUAGAAAAGCUGUCUUUUCUCUGAUAUGAUUGAAUGAAGCUCUGGGGAGGAAAAUGUGGAUUGGCCGAUCUCUUAAAGGAAGCUUCUCCUUCUAGGCACUAUUCUAAGGCUUAAUACUUUAACUCCCUAUAUUAACCUAGUUCAACUAAACAGUGAUCUGAGUAAUUUUAUUUUUAUUAAAGCUCAGAUCAAAAUGCCAUUAACAUUGAUUGAGAAAAUCAAAGGAAUCUUUGAUGUGAGUGGUUAAAUUGCUGAAUUAUUUCAGUCGCAUACCCUCACAGCAUGAGUACCUGAUCUGAUAGACUUCUUUGGAAUUCCUUUUUUGUUUGAGACAGAGUCUUGCUCAGUCGCCCAGGCUGGAGUGCAGCGGUGUGAUCUCAACCAUUGCAACCUCCACCUCCCAGGUUCAAGCGAUUCUCAUGCCUCAGCCUCCUGAGUAGCUGGGAUUACAGACGUGCACCACCAUGCCCGGCUAAUUAUUUUGUAUCUUUAGUAGAGAUGAAGUUUUGCCAUGUGGGCCAGGCUGUUCUCAAACUCCUGGCCUCAAGUGAUCUGCCCACCUUGGCCUCCCAAGCUGCUGGGAUUACAGGUGUGAGCCACCGUGCCUGGCUGGGAUUCCAUAAUAAAUCCGUCUAUGUCUAUUUCUUUUUUCAAAUAUAAUUUUCUUCAUUUCCAAACAUCAUCUUUAAGACUCCAAGGAUUUUUCCAGGCACAGUGGCUCAUGCCUGUAAUCCUACUGCUUGGAGAGGCCAAGGUGGAAGUUCAUUUGAGGCCAGGAGUUCAAGACCAGGUGGGCAACAUAGUGAAACCUCGUCUCUAUAACAU